AAGGCACAGCUGAAAAGACUGGAGUUGGUCCCCGGGCCCCUGUGGCUGCCAACUAAUCCUGUGUUGACAAAUUUAAUUUCUCUGUGAAUGACAAGAAAAGCACAUUUAAACUUUAAGCACCUUUAAACUAUGACAUAUGCUGCAUAAACUAAUUAAAGAACUGUGUAGGUAUAACCUAGUAUUAUUAACCUUAUGCACUCACAUUUGAAUAUACUUUGUACUUUUAUGCACUAAAAUGAUAAGGGUCCCAUCCAAACCUUGUCACUACUUCAAGAAAAGUCUUGAAUCAUGUUCAAUUUCACUCAGCGUUAUCAUUACGUUUGUUUCCUUUUUUGUGUACAGGCAACCCACAAGCAUGUUUUUUUUAGUUGUACUUUUGCUCACAAUUGUUUAAUCUUGUAAACACUGUACUUCCCAUGCAUUUUGUGUGUUCUUUGUAUGUAUAUAUGAUCUCAUUGACUUGUAUCUGUUCUUCUCGUACACAGCACUUUAUGAACCUGGUUUUAAAAUGUGCUGAAUGAAUCAAAAGCUGCUUUUGCACCAAGAGCAUAUUUGAAGAUUGUACAGUUCAAUCUUGAUGCCUGAAAUACCUGACAUUAAUGUUUAAAUUAAUUUAUUCAUUGUUAAACAACAGUGUACAAAUAAUAAAAUCUUCUGAGUUAAUGUUGUUACUGCUUAGAAACACAUCACAACUAGGAAACACGGUGAAGAAUUUCAAUUCAUUUUGAACGUUAUACACAGUACAUUAAUACAAAUAUUUUUUUUCAGAACAGAUUAUAUUUUUACAAUUUGGUACACAAGUUUGUUUUUCAAAAAUGACACAUUUGAACAGCUAAACGUGCAAAUCACUGAAUAGUCUCCUGCUGUUUUCAAAAAAAUAAAAUACAUGGAGUAUAACUUUACUUCUUAAGCCAGUUCAUUCAACACACUGCUCAUGAAUGACAUAAUUUCUGAACAUAGAUGUAUGACAACUAGGCCAUAUGUACAGUGUUGUGUUUCUCAAAAUACAAAAUAUAUUCAAUUAUUCUUUCUUACAGAUUGUGUGUGUGUGUGUGUGAGAGAGAGAGAAAGAGAGAAGGCAGACAGAGUUGUUUGCAUAUGAACAUUGAGGCAAAUCAACAAAUAUAACUCAAAUAAAUAUGAAUGACUA